AUGGAGCUUCAUCGGGGCGGGUUGUGUUUUCUUCAAUUCUCUUCGUUUUUCAUUCACUGGCUUCGACCACCCAGGAAAACUGAAAACCCUUCUCCCCAGUAUCUUCAUUGAUUCAAAAUUCCCAAGCUUUCUGCAUUCAAUUGAAAUCCAACUUUCGAUAUCUAAAAUCCCGUUUCUUUUUUUUUUUUUUUUGUUAAACUGUUUCGUUCCGGGUGCCGAGGAUCGAAGCUCUCAUGGCAUCGAAGAAGAAACAAUCUGAAGGUAUAGCUUUACUCUCGAUGUACAAUGAUGAAGAUGAUGAGAUGGAAGACGUUGAAGACCGAGAAGAAGAAGAUAGUGAACUGCAUCCGCAGCAGAUGCAAGAAGAGGGAGGAGAGGAAGAUUAUGCUGGAGUUAGGGUUGCAGAAGAAGAGUUGGUUGGGAACAGUGAUAGAAUGAUUAUCAGUGAUUCUGCAAAUGGUUCGACGCCGCCGGUUGCUAGUGAAAAUUCGACUCCAGAUAAGCUCAAAUUCGGGUCAUCGACACCGCAGCCGCCCCAGGUUGUGGUUUCAUCGUCGCCAAUGCCAUUACAAGCUGGGCAAUUUGAUAAUUCUGGUAGGAGAAGGGGGACAGUUGGGAUAGUUGAUUACGGUCACGAUGAAGUCGCAAUGUCUCCUGAGGCUGAGGAUGGAGAAAUUGAAGAAUCUGGUCGUGUCACAUUUGGCGAUGAGCUUUUAGGCACUAAUGGUGAUUUUGAUAGAACAUCUCCAGGAACUGUAACGGUCUCAACAUCAAACAAUCUAUCCACUCCUCAAAUUUCUGAAUCACCACAUUCUGGUUCAAUGAACAAUGUGAUAUUGGAAUCUGAAACUGAAAAAGUUGAGGACACCGUUGAAGAAGAGAAAAAAGACAUUGAUCCCUUGGACAAGUUUCUUCCUCCUCCACCAAAAGAAAAAUGCUCAGAGGAUCUGCAAAGGAAAAUCAAUAAGUUUCUCGAGUAUAAGAAAGCUGGAAAAAGCUUCAAUGCAGAAGUACGCAAUAGGAAGGACUACCGGAAUCCAGAUUUCUUGUUACAUGCUGUGAGGUAUCAAGAUAUUGACCAGAUUGGGUCUUGCUUCAGUAAGGAUGUGUUUGACCCUCAUGGAUAUGAUAAAAGUGACUACUAUACUGAAAUAGUAGAGGCUGACAUGAAACGUGAAAUGGAGAGGAAGGAGCUGGAAAGGAAGAAAAGUCCGAAGAUGGAGUUUGUUUCAGGAGGAACACAACCUGGUGGUACGGUAGUGACUGCUCCUAAAUUAAAUAUACCAUUUUCAGGUGUUUCUGCUAUCACUGGUAGUGGAUUACAUUCAGCAGCUCCUGCAUCUGAUGUCAUUCCUAGGGAUGGAAGACAAAACAAAAAAUCAAAAUGGGAUAAGGUAGAUGGAGAUAGAAGAAAUCCAGUAAUUUCCGGCGGGCCAGAUGCAGCUAGUGCCCAUGCAGCUUUACUAUCUGCUGCUAAUGUUGGCUCUGGAUACAUGGCUUUUGCGCAACAGAGACGACGAGAAGCUGAAGAAAAAAGAUCCAGCGAGAGGAAAUUGGAUAGAAGAUCCUAAGAGCAAUGAAUUUUGUUCCGUAGUAUUAAGUAUCAAACCAUUUUGAAAAACAAGGAGAAUGGCUUGUAGCUUCGUAUCUGUGACUAACCAUGUAUACGGUCAGAAUGAAAAUAUGAUCCGGGGGGGAAACAAAUUACACCAGAGCGAAGGAAGAAGCUCCUUUUUCUGUAAGUUUCACGAGAGUAAGAAAACUGACUACUGACAGUGUACGUGGGAACUUAUUUUUAGAUUUGCUUUCUCUAUUGAAUAGAAAAUAUUAAUGAGAUCUAUAAUGAUUGCUCCAAGGUCAGAAGUUUAGUCAGGUUAAGGCUUUAAAUACCAAUCAAGAAUUUACUUGCUACUUCCCUAGGCUUUGAAGGUUUAGGAAUAUUUGUUCACCAUGUUAAGCUUUGUUCUAUCUUUAUUCUGUUAUCUUUUUUGGCCAUGUAAUUUGUCUUUACAGUAGUGGAUUCCCUCCUAUGAAUGAAAAAAAGAGGAAAUCAGAACCCCUAAAGGAGAUACGUAGAUGUACAAAAUCCAUGUCCUAUAACCAUCAAGUCAGUGUAGAAAUUGACAAAUGAUCCUCUCUAUAUAGGUUAGCCAUAUUGAGACAGUGACAUUUUUGCCUUACAGCUUCCUGCCCUGUCCCUGUCCUUUUCCCCACGCCCCUCGAUCUUCUUCAACCCUACAAACAGCCAAAAUUCCAAGAAAUUAUGAACCCUACAAUCAAGCCGCUUGAUUUUAGGCUGUCUUCACAUUUAUCUCGUCUUCUAACUCUGUUUCUGGUUUUCCCCCACAGGCACACUAUCAAACCAAACGUCACCGGAUGCUUUAAAGUCAAUACCAUCAGGGCCUUUAAUUCUUCUCUCGAUGCAUGUUGGCCGAAAGUUACCUCUUUCCCUAAAUAAUCGCAAAAGAGUAAACAUGAGACCCCACACCUUGGCCUACCCCAUUCAUUAUCUCAUAACUUUGUUUGCCUUUUGUUCUAAAUUAAUCUAUCACAUUUAUGUCUCAACUUAGGAUAUGGGAAAACCGGGCUUGAUUUGAAGCAGAAUUAUGAUGUAAAUUUGGAAAAAGGAAUCUUAUUUCCAUAUUUUUACAUCGAAACAAAGGAGAUCCGAAGGCAGUAAUGAGAAAUAUGGUCGGUUUGCAAUUAUAAUGUUGUUGAAUGUUGAGUCCGAUCGAUCCCCUCUUUUUCUUCCUGCAGGUGGUGGUUGCAUAUUUUCAACACAAGUACGUGUGGGUCAGCUUGAAAAGGUAAGCCAUCGGCACCCGAGAAUUGGUUUGGAGUCUUUUUUUUUCCCCUCCACUCGAGAAUAUGGGAUGAGAUUCCUUGGAAUUGGAAGGCAAAGACUUUAUUCUAAUACUUCGAUGCACUUGAAGUUAUAUUUAUCUUUGUACAUUCUAUUUUAAUAAAAAAUAUUAAAAAAAAAAAAAA